GCUCUACCAUUUGAGUUAGCUCAGUUGGUAGAGCGCUCCACUAAAAAUGGAGAGGUUCCUGGUUCGACACCAGGACCAGGCG
rnacentral:tRNA from 1 species